UUGAAAAUAUAAUAUUUUUUUCAUGUUUAAGGAGCCAGCUGACGUAUAAUCCACCGGUCAUCUGACUAUAUUUUU